AACGCACAUUGCGCUCUGUUUGCGCAGAGCAUGCCUGUUUGAGAAUCUAUAGUACCAUUCCCGCUGUGCGCACAGCGAGCGGGGACUUGGGCGCUCUGCCUGCGGGUGGUCGCCUGAAAUGCAUUGCUGCCCAGCAUCGGGUGCUGACCCAGCCGGCGAAAGUAUGCGAAUGGCUCUGCCUCUGAUGUUUUCGCCGGCCGGUAGCCCGCCAGGCACCGGAGUUUUCGUGGAAAACCGAACCAUGGUCUCAAAUCAGGCAGGAAGACCCGCUGAACUUAA
rnacentral:misc_RNA from 1 species